rnacentral:rRNA from 1 species
AGCAGCCGCGGUAAUUCCAGCUCCAAUAGCGUAUAUUAAAGUUGUUGCAGUUAAAAGCUCGUAGUUGAAUUUCGGGGUUAGUAGUUUGGUCGUGCCAAUGGUAUGUACUGGGCUCACUGAUUCCUCCUUCCUGAUGAACUGUAAUGCCAUUAAUUUGGUGUUGCAGGGAAACAGGACUGUUACUUUGAAAAAAUUAGAGUGUCUAAAGCAAGCUAACGCUUGAAUACAUUAGCAUGGAAUAAUGAAAUAGGACGUUCGAACCUAUUUUGUUGGUUUCUAGGAUUGACGUAAUGAUUAAUAGGGAUAGUUGGGGGCAUUAGUAUUCAAUUGUCAGAGUGAAAUUCUUGGAUUUAUUGAAGACUAACUACUGCGUAAGCAUUUGCCAAGGAUGUUUUCAUUAAUCAAGA